rnacentral:sRNA from 1 species
CCAAAACCCGCUCCUCUAGAGCCGGGCUCCAAUUCCCCGUAGGGCGAGUGCACCGCCUGCUCCGCAAGGGCAACUAUGCUGAGCGAGUGGGGGCCGGCGCGCCGGUUUACCUGGCGGCGGUGCUGGAGUACCUGACUGCCGAGAUCCUGGAACUGGCGGGCAACGCAGCCCGCGACAACAAAAAGACCCGCAUCAUCCCGCGCCACUUGCAGCUGGCCAUCCGCAACGACGAGGAGCUCAACAAGCUGCUUGGUAAAGUUACCAUCGCUCAGGGCGGUGUUCUGCCUAACAUCCAGGCCGUACUGCUCCCCAAGAAGACUGAGAGCCACCACAAAGCUAAGGGCAAAGCAUAGCAUUCACAACUAUGGCCCGGACGAAGCAGACAGCUCGUAAGUCUACUGGCGGCAAGGCACCGCGGAAGCAGCUGGCCACCAAGGCAGCGCGCAAAAGCGCUCCAGCGACUGGCGGUGUGAAGAAGCCCCACCGCUACCGGCCAGGCACCGUGGCCUUGCGCGAGAUCCG